rnacentral:rRNA from 1 species
CAGUCGAGGGGCAGCAUUUUAGUUUGCUUGCAAACUAAAGAUGGCGACCGGCGCACGUNUGAGUAACACGCUAUCCAACCUGCCGAUAACUCGGGGAUAGCCUUUCGAAAGAAAGAUUAAUAUCCGAUAGUAUAUUAAAACCGCAUGGUUUUACUAUUAAAGAAUUUCGGUUAUCGAUGGGGAUGCGUUCCAUUAGUUUGUUGGCGGGGUAACGGCCCACCAAGACUACGAUGGAUAGGGGUUCUGAGAGGAAGGUCCCCCACAUUGGAACUGAGACACGGUCCAAACUCAUACGGGAGGCAGCAGUGAGGAAUAUUGGUCAAUGGACGAGAGUCUGAACCAGNCCAAGUAGCGUGAAGGAUGACUGCCCCUAUGGGUUGUAAAACUUCUUUUAUAUGGGAAUAAAGUAUUCCACGUGUGGGNAUUUUGUAUGUACCAUAUGAAUAAGGAUCGGCUAACUCCGUGCCAGCAGCCGCGGUAAUACGGAGGAUCCGAGCGUUAUCCGGAUUUAUUGGGUUUAAAGGGAGCGUAGGUGGAUUGUUAAGUCAGUUGUGAAAGUUUGCGGCUCAACCGUAAAAUUGCAGUUGAAACUGGCAGUCUUGAGUACAGUAGAGGUGGGCGGAAUUCGUGGUGUAGCGGUGAAAUGCUUAGAUAUCACGAAGAACUCCGAUUGCGAAGGCAGCUCACUAGACUGCAACUGACACUGAUGCUCGAAAGUGUGGGUAUCAAACAGGAUUAGAUACCCUGGUAGUCCACACAGUAAACGAUGAAUACUCGCUGUUUGCGAUAUACAGUAAGCGGCCAAGCGAAAGCAUUAAGUAUUCCACCUGGGGGAGUACGCCGGCAACGGUGAAACUCAAAGGAAUUGACGGGGGCCCGCACAAGCGGAGGAACAUGUGGUUUAAUUCGAUGAUACCCGAGGAACCUUACCCGGGCUUAAAUUGCAUUUGAAUAAUCUGGAAACAGGUUAGCCGCAAGGCAAAUGUGAAGGUGCUGCAUGGUUGUCGUCAGCUCGUGCCGUGAGGUGUCGGCUUAAGUGCCAUAACGAGCGCAACCCUUAUCUUUAGUUACUAACAGGUCAUGCUGAGGACUCUAGAGAGACUGCCGUCGUAAGAUGUGAGGAAGGUGGGGAUGACGUCAAAUCAGCACGGCCCUUACGUCCGGGGCUACACACGUGUUACAAUGGGGGGUACAGAAGGCAGCUACCUGGCGACAGGAUGCUAAUCCCAAAAACCUCUCUCAGUUCGGAUCGAAGUCUGCAACCCGACUUCGUGAAGCUGGAUUCGCUAGUAAUCGCGCAUCAGCCAUGGCGCGGUGAAUACGUUCCCGGGCCUUGUACACACCGCCCGUCAAGCCAUGAAAGCCGGGGGUACCUGAAGUACGAACCGCAGGAGCUCUAGG